rnacentral:tRNA from 1 species
GGUAACAUGGCCGAGAUGUANGCGGCGGGUUGUAAACCCGCGCACAGGGAUUAGCCCUUGAUAGCCA